AUACGUAGGGGGCGAGCGUUGUCCGGAAUUACUGGGCGUAAAGGGUGCGUAGGUGGCACUUUAAGUUGGAUGUGAAAUCCCCGUGCUUAACAUGGGAGCUGCAUCCAAUACUGGAGAGCUAGAGUGCAGGAGAGGUAAGCGGAAUUCCUAGUGUAGCGGUGAAAUGCGUAGAUAUUAGGAGGAACACCAGUGGCGAAGGCGGCUUACUGGACUGUAACUGACACUGAGGCACGAAAGCGUGGGGAGCAAACAGGAUUAGAUACCCUGGAAGUCCACGCUGUGAACGAUGAAUACUAGGUGUAGGGGGUAUCAACUCCCUCUGUGCCGCAGCAAACGCAAUAAGUAUUCCGCCUGGGGAGUACGGCCGCAAGGUUGAAACUCAAAUGAAUUGACGGGG
rnacentral:rRNA from 1 species